AACGCAACUGGCGCCGGUUUACCGGCAUGACUGUUUCAGUGUGCUAGGAGAGUAAACUAUCAUUAUAAAAUAUUAUGCGAUUGAGGUACAUUUAUGUUCUUCUUUCGUUAAAUAUGAAGGUGUGAAAGAUGAGUAAUCUCUCACACUGGCAAACGAAGUAGUAAUGCUUGUUCGUGAUCUAGUUUAACCAGAGCUAAAGAGUUUUGCUUAGCUAUAAAUCACAUCUAAUCAAUUAAAUAUCUCCAAAUUUGGCAUCUGAAAUCAGGCAAGGAUACCCGCUGAGCUUAG
rnacentral:misc_RNA from 1 species